rnacentral:rRNA from 1 species
AACGAACGCUGGCGGCAUGCCUAACACAUGCAAGUCGAACGAAGCCUUCGGGCUUAGUGGCGCACGGGUGCGUAACACGUGGGAAUCUGCCCUUCGGUUCGGAAUAACAGUUAGAAAUGACUGCUAAUACCGGAUGAUGACGUAAGUCCAAAGAUUUAUCGCCGAAGGAUGAGCCCGCGUAGGGUUAGGUAGUUGGUAGGGUAAUGGCCUACCAAGCCGACGAUCCUUAGCUGGUCUGAGAGGAUGAUCAGCCACACUGGGACUGAGACACGGCCCAGACUCCUACGGGAGGCAGCAGUGGGGAAUAUUGGACAAUGGGCGAAAGCCUGAUCCAGCAAUGCCGCGUGAGUGAUGAAGGCCUUAGGGUUAUAAAGCUCUUUUACCAGGGACGAUAAUGACAGUACCUGGAGAAUAAGACUCCGGCUAACUCCGUGCCAGCAGCCGCGGUAAU